GGCAGUUCUCGGGUGAUGCACCUCGGAAUCGGGCUCCCUCCUCUCUGGUUUCAGGUGCGUCACUGGAGAACCGCA
rfam:Myotis brandtii contig190905, whole genome shotgun sequence.